rnacentral:rRNA from 1 species
UACGAGGGGUCCUAGCGUUGUUCGGAUUCAUUGGGCGUAAAGGGUGCGUAGGCGGCGGGGUAAGUCUGAUGUGAAAGGCCGGGGCUCAACCUCGGGACUGCAUUGGAUACUGCCUUGCUCGAGAACUGGAGAGGAGACUGGAAUUUACGGUGUAGCAGUGAAAUGCGUAGAGAUCGUAAGGAAGACCAGUGGCGAAGGCGAGUCUCUGGACAGAUUCUGACGCUGAGGCACGAAGGCCAGGGGAGCAAACGGG